GUACAGUUCAUAUCUCCCUGGGGGGCCGCAAGCAGGUUUCAGGGGGGCUGCCAAGCAUGGCCAGCAUUAGACUUGCUGGGGCCCAGGGUAGAAAGUCAAAGCCCCACCGCAUGGGGUUGAAGCCUGGGCCCUAAGCCCCACCACCUGGGACUGAAGCCAAAGCCAGAGCAAUAUUGCGGCGUGGCACC